ACGGACCCAAAGAGAAAAGGACACCCAAACCUUUGGAGGGAAAUCCAAUAAAAUUUCAAACCCAGGCAAAUCAGGUCCCUUUUAGAAGUUAUGAAAACAAAAGAAAAAGAAAGUAAAAAGAGAAAACACAAAGAAAUAACAUCGUGGAGCAAACGUCGUGAGUCGUGACGAAUAUUUCCUCCAUUCCAAACCCUUGGAGAGGAUUUCUCUUCAAUUGCAGAAAUUUAGGGUUUGGUAAUUCGGAAUAUGUCGGAGAGUAGCAGCCGGAGUGGCGGGCCGGAUUUUCACCUCCCCGAUGAAAUACUUUCGGUCAUUCCGACAGACCCGUAUGACCAAUUGGAUGUAGCUCGGAAGAUCACCUCUAUGGCAAUCGCUUCUGAAGUGCCGUAUGACCAAUUGGAUGUAGCUCGGAAGAUCACCUCUAUGGCAAUCGCUUCUCGCGUUACAAAUCUGGAGUCUGAGAUGGGUAGGCUCCGUCAAAAGCUUCACGACAAGGAUCGCGUGAUCCUCGACCUCGAAGACAAGGUCUCUCAGCUCGAGCAGGCUUUUCGCGCUGCCG
rnacentral:lncRNA from 1 species